rnacentral:rRNA from 1 species
CUAUGCGCCUUGCCAGCCCGCUCAGGUGUGCCAGCCGCCGCGGUAAUACGUAUGGAGCAAGCGUUAUCCGGAUUUACUGGGUGUAAAGGGAGCGCAGGCGGCUUUGCAAGUCUGAUGUGAAAGGCCGGGGCUCAACCCCGGGACUGCAUUGGAAACUGUAAAGCUAGAGUGCCGGAGGGGUAAGCGGAAUUCCUAGUGUAGCGGUGAAAUGCGUAGAUAUUAGGAGGAACACCAGUGGCGAAGGCGGCUUACUGGACGGCAACUGACGCUGAGGCUCGAAGGCCAGGGGAGCGAAAGGG